AAAUCAACCAGUUAGGUCUGGAGAGAUGGCUCAGUUGUUAAGUGCUCACUGCUCUUACGGAGGACCUGAGUUUGGUGCCAAGCACCCACUUGGGGCCCGCUCCUGAUUGCCUAUACCUCCAGCUGCAGGGCAUCUGAUACACUCUUCUAGAUUCCUGGGACACUGUUCUCACUCAUCUAUACACACACACACUCACACACUGGGACACUGUUCUCUAUCCUCUAUACACACACACACACACACACACUGGGACACUGUUCUCACUCAUCUAUACACACACACACACAUACACACUGGGACACUGUUCUCAAUCCUCUAUACACACACACACACACACACACACUGGGACACUGUUCUCACUCAUCUAUAUACACACACACACACACACUGGGACACUGUUCUCAAUCCUCUAUACACACACACACACACACACACACACACACACACUGGGACACUGUUCUCAAUGCUCUAUACACACACACACACACUCACACACACACACACACACACACACUGGGACACUGUUCUCACUCAUCUAUACACACACACACACACACACACUGGGACACUAUUCUCAAUUCUCUAUACACACACACACUGGGACACUGUUCUCACUCAUCUAUACACACACACACACACUGGGACACUGUUCUCAAUCCUCUAUACACACACACACAUACACACUCACACACACACACACACACACACACUAGGACACUGUUCUCACUCAUCUAUACACACACACACACACACACACUGGGACACUGUUCUCAAUCCUCUAUACACACACACACACACACACACUCACACACACACACACACACACACACAUAGGUAUACUAAAAUAAAUCUUUCAAAAACUAAAACCAGCCGCUUGAAGUGAGUUUAGAUUUUUUUCA
rnacentral:lncRNA from 1 species